ACAUAAUGUUUUCCAGGUCCAUCCAUGCUGUUGCAAAGGAAUAAGGAAUUCGGACAGACCACCGGCAGAUACAGAACUCUGUGUGAUUCCCAAAUGUUUCUCAAAUCGAUCCAUUUUCUUCUAUGUCCCCUCUCUGAGUCCAGGCUCCCUCGCGUCUUGCCUACGUCCUGUUCUCGCUGCGUUGGCGCUCACAUCUCAUGGUGGCAUUGCCCCUGGUCACCUAUAGCCAGGCCCCCUCUAUCCUGGGCACCGGGGAGGCUCGCCUUUCCCGCACCUGCAAGACGUGCGGCCACAGAAAUAAGAGCAGAAGCGACAAGGGUGCUUCCAGGUGGAAGCAUUUGAGCGGAGGUUCUCUGCCCUGUGGACGACACCACCCACCUUCCCGACGGGAAGGGCCAGGGUGGGGGAGUGAGGACGAUGGGGAAGAGGGCCCUGGGAGCCCGAGACAAAUGUCAGCGCGUGAGGAAUACACCUUGUUUGUUUUGA